UGUGUGUGUGUGUGUGUGUGUGUGUCGCAGAUCAGAGACAAGUCAUAGAACUGUAUAAUUAGGCUUUAACUCUUAAACUCCCACUUAAUGUGUGUGUGUGUGUGUGUGUGUGUGUGUGUGUGUGUAUGUCGCCGAUCCUUUCCCCUCCACCUCCACCUCUUCCACCUACAUCUGAACAGCGAGCCUUUAAAUCACCUGGAAACACCUGCAAAACACUCGAAAUUACGCUAAAUAUGUGACGGAAAAUGGUUACCUUAGCCGUGGCGGGACGCGGCGGGGGUCGGAGGGGCUUGAUGGGGCUCGGCGGUGCUGGGCAGGUCGGGGGUGAUCUUCUUAUGUCCACCUCCCUAAUGCAAGAGUCAACCAGUAUUUUCAGCCUUUCAUCCCUUGUACUGGUAAACUGUAGAACUUUCUGCCUGCUUUUGCAUUUCCUCAUGCCUUUGACUUGAACUGUUUCAAGAAACUCAUUCUCAAAUUUUGGAAACAUGACCACACUUUUUAUGGACUAGCUCCUUAAGUGGGAGUUUCCUUUACAGUUUUUUUUUUCACUGCCCUAGGCCAAAGUCCCUUCCUAACAUAAAGAAGCGUCUUAAAUUAGUCUUGAUGCAGUUUUGCUGAAGAACUCAUUUUCCAUUUUGAGCAACUUUUCUUAUGUUUUCUUAUGUUCUUAUGUUCGAGUGAUGGCCAGUUAACCUCUGAAGUGUCUUGAUACUCCUCUUUUUCAAGCAGGAAAGACGAAAAACAACGAUAGGAAGAGAGUUUCAGAGCUUACCACUGAAAAGAAUGAAAGAGUGAGGAUAAUGUUUACUCUUGUCUUAGAAAGAUGGCCAGAAUGAAGGGGAAAAGAGGUAUAAAGUCUUGUGCAACGAGAGCAUAUAUAUGAAAUUUUCAGUCGAGGUUUUUAGUAGAGGACUUUCCAAGUAUGUUCAGUGUGGGAGACAGGAAGAGUUGAGUGUGACUGAAGACAAUGCCUGGAAGGUUGCGUCGAGUGGAUAGAUGCAGGAAUUAAGACCUUCAGGACCAGUUUGUUGUUUGUACAGUUUGUCGUAUUGCAGCAACAGCUGAGGGAAGAACGUGGAGAACAUUCAGUACAUGGAGCGUCGUGUCUGGUACCAGGUAGGCUACAGUAUGCGUUCAUCAGCAAAGCGUGUCUGUUUGAUUACCAUGUUAUUAAACAAAGCAAACGUGAUCUUUCGUAUUGCUGAAUGUUAUGACAGUACAGUACCUGCGCAUGUGGAAGCUUUGAAAACUUCCUUGCUCGGAGAAAAGGUGGCACCGUGCACAGUAGUGAGCAAGGGGAGGCACAAUGUGGGACCCACUGCCGUGCACAGAUAGGUAGCACACGAGCGACUCUGUGGCGCCACGUCGUGGCGGGGAUGUGGCUCUCCAUUGUUUAGAAGCUGUCCCGCGCACACCAGCGUCUGUGGCAAGCGACUGUGGCGAGCUGUCGUUCAUCCCCGCCACAGCGUGGCGCGACUUUGUGUCGAGGACUCGCGCACACGAAUGACUGGCUGAGCGACGGACACGUGACAGCAAGUUAAGGCAAGUCGUUCCUCAGCUGGAAUGUUCCGCCUCAUGUUUGUAUUGGCUUUCUGCAUGUAGGGACCAAGUAAGCCAAGGAGCUCAUUAAAACUUUCUUGAGACAUCCUGAAGUAGCUGAAUAAUUUUGCAUUGUCUGCUCUCAGAUCACCCAUUAUGGUGUAAAACUGUCCAUCAGUCAGCCUCGGUGAAGUUAUUGGGUGCAUCCAUUUUUGUCUUUCACGACGACGACGACGACGGCGCCACAGAAGCAGUAAUGCAGCUGCUUCCUCCUCAGAAUCCAUGCUGGAACUGAGGCCUCGACGGGCACUGAUGUGCCACAGUGGCGUGUGCCUAUACACACCGGAGACUCUGUGGCUCAAGCAAGACACAGUCGUUCAAACAUGCUUCAGUGUGUUCGCCACGGCGUAUUGAACACAAAGUCGUUCGUGCGCUCCUGGAUAAAGGGCUAGACAGACAUUACUUUUUAUUCCAAAUCAUGCCUUUUUUUUUUUGUGAUAUCAAUAUUUACAAUUCAUAGUUACUCAACUCUUUGUGUAAUUAGUGCAUGUGGUCUGUAACAUGAUUGUACAUGUCAUAAAUUGACGACAUUAUUUUACAAAGGGAAUUUCACAAUCCUUUCUCCCUUUAUUGCCAUGUUUCGUCAGACUUUGAUCUUCCUCGUCCGUCUUAUUUCUCUCAUUGCAGUUUUUUUUUCUUUUUAUACGCUCUGAAGUACUAUCUGGAAGGUCCUUUUGGGAAUUCUCAUUAAAGUGAUUAUGUAUUUCUGGAUUAUUUAAAAAAUCUAGUUAUGCUUUCUUUACGUGUUAUCGUUCCAUUUGUGAGCCUCUACAAGAAUUUGUGUUCUUCCUUACACUUGUCAAAGAAUAUGUUUCUCAGUCAAUGUUCCUCUCUUCUUAACAUUAUGUAUCGAUUCGUUGUUGAUUUAUUUUAUACUCUAAUUUUGUGAAAAUUGAGGAUAAAUCAAUACACAUUCUGACAGUUGUGUAGGAAUGGGACUAAGGCAGUACAGCCUACUCUGAUAAAGGAGUUUUUUGUAAGGACAGUUCAAGGAGUACAUUUUACACAGUGAGUAAUGUAUAUGAUUCUUACAGCAUGCUCAACAAAUUGACAAGUUUCGAACUCCCGCAUUACCUCUUACUGAGGGGUUAGCACCUCCGAAUUGAUGCAUGAUGAAGAUAUCCUGCUCAAGGUGGGCCUGAAUGUGGGCAGCUGUGGUGUAAGGUGGCGGCUGGCAUGAACGCUGCUGGCUUUGCUCCUGAGGCGUUGACCACCAGUCGCUGCCAACAUAAUCAUGGCAUCAACCCCAGUGUGCUCGCUGUUUUAUCAGUGUGCUUCAAAGCUCUUUUCUUGUGAGGUGGUACACGUAUACAUGAACAGGAGCAUCCCCUGAAGGGGCGAGCACAGUACAAGAGCCUCCACCUCUACCUCUCCAAACUCUUCUCUUUGCUCAGGCGCCCACACAGCUGCUGGUGGAGAUACAGGAGGGGGGUGCACGCAGAUGCAAUUCACAAUUCACCACGUGGCUCACCACACCUGGUCUGCACCUGGCAAACACUUCAACCUGCAGUACCAGUUGGUG